GAGGUCUCAUUAUUCUGCUUGGUGAGCGGGGAUGUUGAUUGCUGGAGACAAGUGAAAGUAAGGAAUAUACGAUUUUGCUUCUCCCAACGAAAUUCGGUUUAAAAGGACUAAUUUUGCGGAUUCAAAUUGCGGAGCUUUAAGGCUUCAUUAUCAGUGAUGAAUUCGAGGGUAUAGAAAUCUUGAUUAAGAAUCAGAAGCCAGAAGCAUGGCCGACAACUUAAGCUAAAGAAAACAUGAAAGUUACUUGUGAUUUCUGUACUCAGAAUUUGCUACAUCGCGUUAUUGUGUCUUUGUUGAGCUCUAGCUUCGGUGCUUCUUUUAUCCAACUCAUUCUGGUUGCUUGCUUCAACGCACAAUGAAAUCUCUGAGAUGAUGACAUUUUCGAUUGCUUUCUUCAACACACAAUGAAACCUCAUAUGACAACAUUUCAGGCCUCUGUCUUUCCUUUUCCCCCUUCUAGAUGUCAGCCUUAAAUGGGUAAGUGGAGGCCCAUUAUUUACCUGUAAGUUGCCCAUAUAUAAGGAGUCGUUGUUGCCUCGAGUUGUUGUAACAUGAACUUGUUCAGAUUCUAGAAUGUUGACAGAUACAGGAUAUGGGCAUGCUAUUCAAGCCACCAACUCCUUAAACAUCGCGGUUUUCGAAGGCUAAGAAUGACUCGAGGUUGAAAAGAAUAGUUAUAGUUCAUAUAUGAAGGUGGGAGAAGAGUUUUUAUAUUUAAAUCCUGAACCAUUCUACCUAUAUAGACCUCACAAAAUUGCUAUCUGGGUUUCAGUAGAGGGUAUUGUUUUUUUUUUUAUGUUUUACUGGGUGAAAAUUGGAACGUGCACUUUUUGUACAACUUGUCAAUUGAUUUAACUCUGGUAGAUGUGAUGGAAAUCACAAAGGAGAAGAAAACACAAUGUUGGUAAAAACAAACAUUUUGAUGUA